rnacentral:rRNA from 1 species
AACGAACGCUGGCGGCAGGCUUAACACAUGCAAGUCGAGCGCGUAGCAAUACGAGCGGCAGACGGGUGAGUAACACGUGGGGAUCUGCCCAAUGGUACGGAAUAACUCAGGGAAACUUGUGCUAAUACCGUAUGUGCCCUUCGGGGGAAAGAUUUAUCGCCAUUGGAUGAACCCGCGUCAGAUUAGCUAGUUGGUAGGGUAAAGGCCUACCAAGGCGACGAUCUGUAGCUGGUCUGAGAGGAUGAUCAGCCACACUGGGACUGAGACACGGCCCAGACUCCUACGGGAGGCAGCAGUGGGGAAUAUUGGACAAUGGGCGCAAGCCUGAUCCAGCCAUGCCGCGUGAGUGAUGAAGGCCUUAGGGUUGUAAAGCUCUUUCGCCGACGAAGAUAAUGACGGUAGUCGGAGAAGAAGCCCCGGCUAACUUCGUGCCAGCAGCCGCAGUAAAAC